CACAACUUCUGUGAGCGGUGAGUGUCCCCCCAGCACCCCCAAUCGCCCCCCUCUGCCUGCAAACCUUGUGAGUGCGGUGAGUUUCCCCAUCGCCCCUCUCUGUUUGCACAACUUUUGUGAGCGGUGAGUUUCCCCAUAGCCCCCCUCUGUUUGCACAACUUCUGUGAGCGGUGACACCCCUGAUUGCCCCCCUCUGCCUGCACACCUUCUGUGAGUGGUGAGUGUCCCCC